GCUGGGUAGCUAUGUACGGAAUGGAUAAGCGCUGAAAGCAUCUAAGCGCGAAGCCAACUUCAAGAUAAGAUUUCCCUCCGCACGGGUAAGACCCCAGAAAGACUAUCUGGAUGAUAGGUCGAAGGUGUAAGUGCAGCAAUGUAUUUAGCUUAUCGAUACUAAUAGGUCGAGGACUUGACCAAU
rnacentral:rRNA from 1 species